CAGAGGCGAGAUGGACUGAAUAUCUAGCACACGUAGUGAUGCACUGAUGGCUGAUGCUCACACGUAUGUAGUGCUGACUGAAGCACAUCGUUGGCGCCUGCAGCUGAGAUCACCGGGAACUGCAUACAGAUACAGUUGCUCUGACCUCUGAAUAAUCGCAGCAGCCCUCUUUUGGAUGUGUGUGCAGCGUACACUGACGCACUGUAUCUGUAUAGACCGAAGCUGUUGCAGCUGAAUAGCUGAUGUCCAUGGCUGCGGUCGUUAGUCGUUUGCAGUCCAAAGAUGCCUGGAAAUAAGAACACACGGU
rnacentral:lncRNA from 1 species